rnacentral:rRNA from 1 species
CGGAACGGGUGAGUAACGCGUGAAUAACCUGACUCAAAGAGGGGGAGUAACAACGGGAAACUGUUGCUAAUACCGCAUGAGACCACAACACCGCAUGAUGAAGGGGUCAAAGAUUUAUCGCUUUGAGAGGGGUUCGCGUCCCAUUAGGUAGUUGGAGGGGUAACGGCCCACCAAGCCAACGAUGGGUAGCCGAGCUGAGAGGCUGAUCGGCCACACUGGAACUGAGACACGGUCCAG